rnacentral:rRNA from 1 species
AUUGAACGCUGGCGGCAGGCCUAACACAUGCCAGUCGAGCGGAUGAAGGGAGCUUGCUCCUGGAUUCAGCGGCGGACGAGUGAGUAAUGCCUAGGAAUCUGCCUGGUAGUGGGGGAUAACGUCCGGAAACGGGCGCUAAUACCUCAUACGUCCUGAGGGAGAAAGUGGGGGAUCUUCGGACCUCACGCUAUCAGAUGAGCCUAGGUCGGAUUAGCUAGUUGGUGGGGUAAAGGCCUACCAAGGCGACGAUCCGUAACUGGUCUGAGAGGAUGAUCAGUCACACUGGAACUGAGACACGGUCCAGACUCCUACGGGAGGCAGCAGUGGGGAAUAUUGGACAAUGGGCGAAAGCCUGAUCCAGCCAUGCCGCGUGUGUGAAGAAGGUCUUCGGAUUGUAAAGCACUUUAAGUUGGGAGGAAGGGCAGUAAGUUAAUACCUUGCUGUUUUGACGUUACCAACAGAAUAAGCACCGGCUAACUUCGUG